rnacentral:rRNA from 1 species
CUGCGGCUGACGCUAGAGAUUUGAUCUGGCUCACAUAGUCUUUGACCCGGUAGCCGAUCCACCGGAAAAAGAGGAGUGGCGAACGGGUGAGUAACACGUGGGUAACCUGCCCAUCAGAAGGGGAUAACACUUGGAAACAGGUGCUAAUACCGUAUAACAAUCAAAACCGCAUGGUUUUGAUUUGAAAGGCGCUUUCGGGUGUCGCUGAUGGAUGGACCCGCGGUGCAUUAGCUAGUUGGUGAGGUAACGGCUCACCAAGGCCACGAUGCAUAGCCGACCUGAGAGGGUGAUCGGCCACAUUGGGACUGAGACACGGCCCAAACUCCUACGGGAGGCAGCAGUAGGGAAUCUUCGGCAAUGGACGAAAGUCUGACCGAGCAACGCCGCGUGAGUGAAGAAGGUUUUCGGAUCGUAAAACUCUGUUGUUAGAGAAGAACAAGGAUGAGAGUAACUGUUCAUCCCUUGACGGUAUCUAACCAGAAAGCCACGGCUAACUACGUGCCAGCAGCCGCGGUAAUACGUAGGUGGCAAGCGUUGUCCGGAUUUAUUGGGCGUAAAGCGAGCGCAGGCGGUUUCUUAAGUCUGAUGUGAAAGCCCCCGGCUCAACCGGGGAGGGUCAUUGGAAACUGGGAGACUUGAGUGCAGAAGAGGAGAGUGGAAUUCCAUGUGUAGCGGUGAAAUGCGUAGAUAUAUGGAGGAACACCAGUGGCGAAGGCGGCUCUCUGGUCUGUAACUGACGCUGAGGCUCGAAAGCGUGGGGAGCAAACAGGAUUAGAUACCCUGGUAGUCCACGCCGUAAACGAUGAGUGCUAAGUGUUGGAGGGUUUCCGCCCUUCAGUGCUGCAGCUAACGCAUUAAGCACUCCGCCUGGGGAGUACGACCGCAAGGUUGAAACUCAAAGGAAUUGACGGGGGCCCGCACAAGCGGUGGAGCAUGUGGUUUAAUUCGAAGCAACGCGAAGAACCUUACCAGGUCUGACAUCCCUUUGACCACCUCUAGAGAUAGAGCUUCCCCUUCGGGGGCAAAGUGACAGUGGGUGCAUGGUGUCGUCAGCUCGUGUCGUGAGAUGUUGGGUUAAGUCCCGCACGAGCGCAACCCUUAUUGUAGCUGCAUCAUUCAGUGGCACCUCUAGCAGACUGCGUUGACAACCGAGAAGGUGGGGAUGGACGUCAUCAUCAUGCCCGUAUGACUGGCUACACUGCUACAUGUAGUAAACCGAGUGCGCAAGUCCGCGAGAGCCUAAGCUAAUCUCCUCUUUAAGAGC